rnacentral:rRNA from 1 species
UACGUAGAGAGCAAGCGUUGUCCGGAAUCAUUGGGCGUAAAGCGCGCGUAGGUGGCUUCGUAAGUCCGUUGUGAAAGUCAAAGGCUCAACCUUUGAAUGCCGAUGGAUACUGCGGAGCUAGAGUACGGAAGAGGCGAGUGGAAUUCCUGGUGUAGCGGUGGAAUGCGCAGAUAUCAGGAGGAACACCAAUAGCGAAGGCAGCUCGCUGGGACGUUACUGACACUAAGGCGCGAAAGCGUGGGGAGCGAACAGG